UUUCCGUAGGUGAACCUGCGGAAGGAUCAUUGUCGAAACCUGCCCCAAAAGCAGAACGACCCGCGAACGCGUUCUCAUCACAUUCUUUAAGUCCGUCCCCGAACGAACUCGUUCGCUCGUGGGACGGCGCCUAACGAACCCCGGCGCGAACCGCGCCAAGGAAUACAUGAUCGUAAACUCGAAGGAGCAAAGCUGGGGAGUCGCGCUCCUCCGUCCCCCGCCCGUUCGCGGGCGCCGGGCUCGGUGCCGCUUCUUCCUUCGCGGAACCUUCCUUCCGAGCGAAAAACACAAAACGACUCUCGACAACGGAUAUCUCGGCUCUCGCAUCGAUGAAGAACGUAGCAAAAUGCGAUACUUGGUGUGAAUUGCAGAAUCCCGUGAACCAUCGAGUCUUUGAACGCAAGUUGCGCCCGAAGCCUUUAGGCCGAGGGCACGUCUGCAUGGGCGUCACGCAUCGCGUCGCCCCCCCGCACCGUGCAUAUUCGUUUCGGUCGGGGGAGCGGAUAUUGGCCUCCCGUGCCCCUCGCGGGCGCGGCUGGCUCAAAACGGAGUCCCCGACGGAGGACGCACGACGAGUGGUGGUUUGGUUUAUCUCGAAUCCGAUUUCCCGUCGUGCGCAAGUCCCGCGUCGGUGCCGGCUCGAAACGACCCUAUUUAGCGCCGCCCGCUCCGUCCGAGAGGACGAAUCGAUCGGCGCUUCGACCGCGACCCCAUGUCAGGCGGGACUACCCGCUGAGUUUAA
rnacentral:sRNA from 1 species